rnacentral:lncRNA from 1 species
UUGCCUCGUUAAAAACCUUGCAAGGAAAACCCAGUGGGACAAAACCUUGUAAGGGAAAAAGAGUGCAACGCGCAUUAACUCCCCCUGAAAAGAGUAUUAAUUCACAUCCUUGAGCAUUUGCAUUCCAAUCUUGUGCACCAUCUUUAAAACGAUAUUUUGUAGAGAUUUGAUAAAUAAAUCAGCCAUAUUGAUUUGAAUAAAUAUUCCGCACCUUGAAAUUAUCAUUCUUGAUAGAUAUGAACAUCUUCAUAUAANNNN